rnacentral:lncRNA from 1 species
CUGUGAUUAUGCCACUGCACUCCACCCCAGGCAACGGAGUGGGACCCUGUCUCCAAAACAAAACACAAAAAACCCCACACGGGUCACUCUUCACUGUUUUACUUACAAGUGGACGAAGGGCAUAAACAAUUAAACAUAAUGAAACUGACCCAUAAACAUAUGUAAAAAUACUCAACUACACUAAUAAUCGAAAAGUAUAAUUAAAACAAUGAAACGGUCAAGCGUCUACUUAAUUGCAAAGGUAUUUUCAAAUGGCAAUGCCCAGGGCUGGCAGCCGAGCCAGGAAAAAGCCUCCCUCAGACCCCACGAGCGGGCACAUAAAAUGGGACAAACUUCCCAAACAGCAAUUUUGCAAAACGUGCCAAUUCCCCUAAAGGUUAUUUAUUAUUUAUCCAGUUAUUUCUAUCACUUCCAGAAACCAUACUGAGAAAAUAACCAGAAAUCUGAACAAAGAUUUAUACACUGUCUCAUCAUAACAUGAGUUAUAAUAUUAAAAAAUCAGAAGCAACCUAAAUGUCUAAUAGCACAAAAGUGGUUAAAUUAUUGGUAAUUCCCAAUAAUGAAAUAUAUGCAUGUAUUUCCAAAGAGUCUCCUGAAAAAGGAGAUGAGAUCAGGAAACAUGCCUGACCGUGAGGAAGCCAUGAUUGCACAUAGUAUUUGGCCCUUUCUUUUCUAAGUAGUUGUAAGUCAAUUAUUUUAAAAUUCUAGUUCUCUUUCUAAAUACAGAAGCAAAGCAGCCCAUGAUAGAUGCCGUGCUGAGGCUCCUCUCCCUAGGCAGCACUGCAUCAGGAAUAAUCCCACACUCAGCAUCCUUGGAAUGAGAAGUAUAAAGAGGAGGAGAAGUUCAUCUCAGAACUUCAAAAAGACCUGCGCUGAAAUCCUCGACUCUACUGCGCUAUGCAGGAGGAGUCUUAGACCCACUUGAUUGAUGAAAACACUCAGACUCAGACCAGGAGCAGACAGGUAGAGAGCCGUGGAACCAGCUUGGAGAAAGCAAUUCCACCCCUAGGAAUCAACACCAGAGACAUAUUAGAUACAUGUUCCCAAAAAGACAUGCGAGCUGUGGUCCCAGCACUUUGGGAGGCCGAGGCGGGCAGAUCACAAGGUCAGGAGAUUGAGACCAUCCUUGCUAAC